GCCAGUGUGGCGUAGUGGCUUGAGUGUUGGACUAUGACUCUGGAGACCAAAGUUUGAAUCUGUGCUUAGCCA